AAAGACCGGGGCUUAACUUCGGAAAGGCAGUGGAAACUGAACAGCUAGAGUAUGGUAGGGGCAGAGGGAAUUCCUGGUGUAGCGGUGAAAUGCGUAGAGAUCAGGAAGAACAUCGGUGGCGAAGGCGCUCUGCUGGACCAUAACUGACACUCAGGGACGAAAGCUAGGGGAGCGAAUGGGAUUAGAUACCCCAGUAGUCCU
rnacentral:rRNA from 1 species